UACGAAGGGGGCUAGCGUUGUUCGGAAUUACUGGGCGUAAAGCGUACGUAGGCGGAUUGUUAAGUGAGGGGUGAAAUCCCGAGGCUCAACCUCGGAACUGCCUUUCAUACUGGCAAUCUUGAGUCCGGGAGAGGUGAGUGGAACUCCUAGUGUAGAGGUGAAAUUCGUAGAUAUUAGGAAGAACACCAGUGGCGAAGGCGGCUCACUGGCCCGGAACUGACGCUGAGGUACGAAAGCGUGGGGAGCAAACAGG
rnacentral:rRNA from 2 species